UGCCUAGUAAGCGCGAGUCAUCAGCUCGCGUUGAUUACGUCCCUGCCCUUUGUACACACCGCCCGUCGCUCCUUCCGAUUGGGUGUGCUGGUGAAGAGUUCGGACUGGACGCGACUAGCGAUAGUUAGCGUUCGGGAAGUCCUU
rnacentral:rRNA from 1 species